rnacentral:miRNA from 1 species
GUUCACAGUGGCUAAGUUCUGCAC